CUCUUGUUCUAUUUCAUUCAAGUCUUAUGAUAGGCUCGUUGAGUACAUAUUGGGAUGGUCUCUGCCAGUACUAGCUGUAAAUGAGUAGGAAUGUCCACUUUUCAUCUGUAAUCAACAGGAAUGAAUGAGCUUUAAGUGAUUCCCCUCCCCAGAUUUGGAAGUAAAUUUGUAUCCACACAAUAUUUGUUUGCUUGUUUACACCUGCUAGAAGAUGUUACCAAUGAUAUUCAUGUAUCAGAAGAUAUAUAUUGUGAAAUUAAGGCCCACUAAUAUAGAGAAACUCAAUUGCUGUGACUGGUGAGUGAAGUCACACAGACAAUCAGACGUCUAUAAUGAGACAAUAGAAAGGCUGGGAUAAAGAUGUCCAGAUUUGUUAGGGAUAAAUGUGGUCAUGAUUGCUUAUCUGAUUUUGUAUGAACUUGGAUAAUGUAAGUGUAAUAGGAUGGGAGAAAAUGCAAUGGAGACUUGAGACCAGGAUUGGAACCCAGGUCCUCUGAAUCUCUAGUUAGAUGCUCUACCAACAGCUAUCUGGCCAUAGGCAAUCGAACCCGGCUGACUGCUCUACUCCUCCCUCCUUAAAUGUCUUCUCACCUUAAAGACAUCAACCCCAGAUCUUUAUCCCUUGGCAGGCAUUUUAACCUGUCAGUUCCAGGGGCUCAGGUCUACUACACCUAAUGUAACAGGAAGGGAGAAAAUGCAAUGGACUACACCGGGAUUUGAACAUGAGCCCCCUGAAUUUCUAGUCAGGUGCUCUUCUAACUGAGCUAGUCUGGCCACCACCAAUGGAUCACUACAAAGAUUCAUGUUACCAAUAGAUAAUUCUCAGUGUGUGUAAUAUGAUCUAGUGUUUGUUUUUUUUAUAUCUGAUUUAAAAUUUACACAAUGUCAACCUUUUUUGGUUAUAUACUACCUCCAUCGACUGACAAUGGGAAGCAGACAGCUAGGGUUCCAAUCCAAAUAAAACUUACUGACAGAUUCUGAGUGGACCAUAUGCAGCCAGAACUGCACAAGUGCUGCACAUUCUGUUCUGACCAGUAAGGAAAUAAUUAAUCCACCAACCAGCAUUUGAUGUUAAAUUUUCCGCCUGUACUCUUGCUGAUUUUUGUCUUACUGAGAACUCACUUGCAUGUAGUUCGUGCCAGGUUUUGGCCUGUUGGGAUGUGUCAAUAGAGAUAUUAUGUCCAAAUUACUCUUCAUUUAUGGGCAGAGAAAUGGAAAUCAUUGACUUAUAUAAUGGAUUGACAAGGAGUUUCUAAUUUAACAGAACAUGAAUAGCAGUUCUAAAAAUAGACUAAUUAGGAAAAGUACUGAAAAUAGUUGAAUUUAAACCAGUUAAAGUUAUCAUAAAAUUAUCAUGAAAUUAUUAUGAAAAAUUAUGAAAUCUUUUUUGAGUACAGAAAUUGCUUGAAGAUGAAAACAGACAGUAGUGAGGAGAAAAGAAGAGUGUUAUGAUAAAAGAGGGAAAUUGAAAUGAAGUUGUUGGUGCCAAAACAUGGAAAAGGAGUCUGUUAAUUAACCUGUUGAAAUGUUUUGCUCAUUUGUUAAGUGAAGUAAAACAAAAUAUAAUAAAUAGAAAGUUGUAGCUUUUUAGCUCACAUGAGCAUGCAGUGAAACUCAAGUGAACUUUUCUGAUCACAUUGAAAUUUGUCCGGCGUCAGUCUGUAUGUCCGCCUAUCCAUAAACUUUUAACAUUUUCAACUUCUUCUCCAGAACCAUGUAGCUACAAAACAUGGUGGGUGAAGAGGAUCCAAGUUUUUCAAAUGAAGUGCCAAAUAUCCUUUUUGAAGUGGAGACAGUGUCCCCCGUGGGUAGGAUGGGGCCACAAAAGGGUAUCAAUGUUCUACAUGGGUUAAAUAUAUUAUGAUAAUCUUUAAAAAUCUUCCUCUCAAGAAUAACAGGGCUAUGGAUAUUCAUAUUAAUAUACAUGUACAAUAAUUCCAAGGUAGUUUUAAUUGAAGUCUGUUUUUUAAAUCAUAACACCAGGGGUGGGGUGGGAGGCACAAUAAGGGGAUCAAAGUAUAUAAGGAAACAACUUCAAAAAUCUUCUUCUCAACAACCACUGGGCCAGAAAAGUUCAAAUCUACAUGAAAUCUUUCGAUGAUUUUUAAAAAAUUAUCUUGUGACAUUGUAUCAGAGUUAUAUUAAUUGUCACAAUAUGGAAUCAAUAUUUCUCGGAAUAAUGUUUGCAAAAAAAUCUGUUAAAAAUCACAAUUGCUGAACAGCAGCAGGACCAGGCUAACUCGUGUGAGUGAUGUGGCCUGCGGGUCUCAUGUUUGUCCCAACAUAAAGUGUAGAUAGUGAGCAAUGUGGCCCAUGGGCCUAAUGUUAUUUGCUCCAGCAUCAAAAUGGUAGGUAUAAGUAUCUCUAAAUAAUCCACAUAAGGGUGGGUCAUUAUAUGCCUUGAAUAUGUUAAACAUCAAAUCAUGUUCAUUAAUGAUUGUGUUGAGAAUGAACCUGUAUUUACGAUGAUAGCCUCACAUAGUCAGAAUAAAAUGAGAGC